CGCUCGGCGGUCAACCGGUGAUGACUUCGACCGGCCCAAUCAGGGUCUCGCAGCAGGACGGGCCGGUCACGAUCGGCCCCGACGGCUCUAUCUCUAUCGGCAAGGGAUCCAUCGGGCGUUUACGCAUUGUCCGGUNNNNGGCAGCUCUCCGCGGAGAGUGGCGGAAUGUUUUCUGCUGCAGCUUCGCCGACGGACGUCGC
rnacentral:misc_RNA from 1 species